rnacentral:rRNA from 1 species
ACGGAAGGUCCAAGCGUUAAUCGGAAUUACUGGGCGUAAAGCGCGCGUAGGUGGUUUAUUAAGUUGGAUGUGAAAUCCCCGGGCUCAACCUGGGAACUGCAUUCAAAACUGGUUCACUAGAGUACGAUAGAGGGAGGUAGAAUUCACAGUGUAGCGGUGGAAUGCGUAGAUAUUGUGAAGAAUACCAAUGGCGAAGGCAGCCUCCUGGAUCUGUACUGACACUGAGGUGCGAAAGCGUGGGUAGCGAACAGG